rnacentral:rRNA from 1 species
UACGUAGGGUGCGAGCGUUAAUCGGAAUUACUGGGCGUAAAGCGUGCGCAGGCGGCUUUGCAAGACAGAUGUGAAAUCCCCGGGCUCAACCUGGGAACUGCAUUUGUGACUGCAGGGCUGGAGUACGGCAGAGGGGGAUGGAAUUCCGCGUGUAGCAGUGAAAUGCGUAGAUAUGCGGAGGAACACCGAUGGCGAAGGCAGUCCCCUGGGCCUGUACUGACGCUCAUGCACGAAAGCGUGGGGAGCAAACAGG